UACAGAGGGGGCAAGCGUUAUUCGGAAUUAUUGGGCGUAAAGGGCGCGUAGGCGGCCUGGCAAGUGGAUGGUGAAAUCCCUCGGCUUAACCGAGGAACUGCCGUUGAUACUGUCAAUCUUGAGUACAUUUGAUGUGGGCGGAAUGUGUCAUGUAGCGGUGAAAUGCUUAGAUAUGACACAGAACACCGAAUUGCGAAGGCAGCU
rnacentral:rRNA from 1 species